rnacentral:rRNA from 1 species
GACGAACGCUUCCGGCGUGCUUAACACAUGCAAGUCGAACGGAAAGGCCCUGCUUUUGUGGGGUGCUCGAGUGGCGAACGGGUGAGUAACACGUGAGUAACCUGCCCUUGACUUUGGGAUAACUUCAGGAAACUGGGGCUAAUACCGGAUAGGAGCUCCUGCUGCAUGGUGGGGGUUGGAAAGUUUCGGCGGUUGGGGAUGGACUCGCGGCUUAUCAGCUUGUUGGUGGGGUAGUGGCUUACCAAGGCUUUGACGGGUAGCCGGCCUGAGAGGGUGACCGGCCACAUUGGGACUGAGAUACGGCCCAGACUCCUACGGGAGGCAGCAGUGGGGAAUAUUGCACAAUGGGCGGAAGCCUGAUGCAGCAACGCCGCGUGCGGGAUGACGGCCUUCGGGUUGUAAACCGCUUUCGCCUGUGACGAAGCGUGAGUGACGGUAAUGGGUAAAGAAGCACCGGCUAACUACGUGCCAGCAGCCGCGGUGAUACGUAGGGUGCGAGCGUUGUCCGGAUUUAUUGGGCGUAAAGGGCUCGUAGGUGGUUGAUCGCGUCGGAAGUGUAAUCUUGGGGCUUAACCCUGAGCGUGCUUUCGAUACGGGUUGACUUGAGGAAGGUAGGGGAGAAUGGAAUUCCUGGUGGAGCGGUGGAAUGCGCAGAUAUCAGGAGGAACACCAGUGGCGAAGGCGGUUCUCUGGGCCUUUCCUGACGCUGAGGAGCGAAGGCGUGGGGAGCGAACAGGCUUAGAUACCCUGGUAGUCCACGCUGUAAACGGUGGGUACUAGGUGUGGGGUCCAUUCCACGGGUUCCGUGCCGUAGCUAACGCUUUAAGUACCCCGCCUGGGGAGUACGGCCGCAAGGCUAAAACUCAAAGGAAUUGACGGGGCCCCGCACAAGCGGCGGAGCAUGCGGAUUAAUUCGAUGCAACGCGUAGAACCUUACCUGGGUUUGACAUGGAUCGGGAGUGCUCAGAGAUGGGUGUGCCUCUUUUGGGGUCGGUUCACAGGUGGUGCAUGGCUGUCGUCAGCUCGUGUCGUGAGAUGUUGGGUUAAGUCCCGCAACGAGCGCAACCCUUGUUCACUGUUGCCAGCACGUUAUGGUGGGGACUCAGUGGAGACCGCCGGGGUCAACUCGGAGGAAGGUGGGGAUGACGUCAAGUCAUCAUGCCCCUUAUGUCCAGGGCUUCACGCAUGCUACAAUGGCUGGUACAGAGAGUGGCGAGCCUGUGAGGGUGAGCGAAUCUCGGAAAGCCGGUCUCAGUUCGGAUUGGGGUCUGCAACUCGACCUCAUGAAGUCGGAGUCGCUAGUAAUCGCAGAUCAGCAACGCUGCGGUGAAUACGUUCCCGGGGCU